rnacentral:rRNA from 1 species
ACGGGGUGCAGCAGGCGCGAAACCUUCACAAUGUGCGAAAGCGCGAUGAGGGGAUCCCAAGUGCUUGCUCGUAAGAGUAAGCUGUUUUUAUGUCUAAAAAGCAUAGAGAGUAAGGGCUGGGUAAGACGGGUGCCAGCCGCCGCGGUAAUACCUGCAGCUCAAGUAGUGACCGCUAUUAUUGGGCCUAAAACGUUCGUAGCCGGUUUGGUAAAUGCCUGGGUAAAUAGUGUAGCUUAACUAUACGAAUUCCGAGUAGACUGCCAAACUUGAGACCGGGAGAGGCUAGAGGUACUCCUGGGGUAGAGGUGAAAUUCUGUAAUCCUGAGGGGACCACCAGUGGCGAAGGCGUCUAGCUAGAACGGGUCUGACGGUGAGGAACGAAGCCCUGGGGCGCGAACCGGAUUAGAUACCCGGGUAGUCCAGGGUGUAAACGCUGCUUGCUUGAUGUUAGUUGGGCUCCGAGCCCAAUUAGUGUCGGAGAGAAGUUGUUAAGCAAGCUG